AUGGCCCUGAAUCAAGGCCAGCAGCUUCCUGAUGCUGUUGGUUUCAAGCAGAAGGCUAAAAAGAUGUCUUUCCAUGAUCUGCGAGCCACCAGCAUUUACUGGGACCCACGCAAGGCUGGGACCUGGAGUGAUGGUAAACCAA
rnacentral:snoRNA from 1 species